UACGUAGGGUCCAAGCAUUAUCCGGAUUGACUGGGUGUAAAGAGUUGCGUAGGUGGUUUGUUAAGUAGAUAGUGAAAUCUGGUGGCUCAACCAUUCAGACUAUUAUCUAAACUGGCAGACUCGAGAACGUUAGGGGUAGCUGGAAUUUCUAGUGUAGGAGUGAAAUCCGUAGAUAUUAGAAAGAACACCGAUAGCGUAGGCAGGCUACUGGGACGUUUCUGACACUAAGGCACGAAGGCGUAGGGAGCAA
rnacentral:rRNA from 1 species